AGCGAACGCUGGCGGCAGGCCUAACACAUGCAAGUCGAACGAAGUCUUCGGACUUAGUGGCGGACGGGUGAGUAACACGUGGGAACGUGCCUUUAGGUUCGGAAUAACUCAGGGAAACUUGUGCUAAUACCGAAUGUGCCCUUCGGGGGAAAGAUUUAUCGCCUUUAGAGCGGCCCGCGUCUGAUUAGCUAGUUGGUGAGGUAAAGGCUCACCAAGGCGACGAUCAGUAGCUGGUCUGAGAGGAUGAUCAGCCACAUUGGGACUGGGACACGGCCCAAACUCCUACGGGAGGCAGCAAUGGGGAAUCUUGCGCAAUGGGCGAAAGCCUGACGCAGCCAUGCAGCGUGAAUGAUGAAGGUCUUAGGAUUGUAAAAUUCUUUCACCGGGGACGAUAAUGACGGUACCCGGAGAAGAAGCCCCGGCUAACUUCGUGCCAGCCGCCGCGGUAACAC
rnacentral:rRNA from 1 species